rfam:Triticum aestivum genome assembly, contig: Triticum_aestivum_CS42_TGACv1_scaffold_249613_3DL
CAUUUACUCCCCGGAAAUACUUGUCAUCAAAAUGGAUAAAAGGAGAUGUAUCUAGAUGUAUUUUAGUUCUAGAUACAUCCCUUUUCAUCCAUUUUGAUGACAAGUAUUUUCGGACGGAGGCAGUACUUA